rnacentral:pre_miRNA from 1 species
AGCUUUUUGAAUCCGUGAUGAGAUUUCGUCAGAUACCAACCAAUAAGGACUGAUCAGACUUCCAAGAUAAGUGAAGUU